rfam:Arthrobacter arilaitensis RE117 chromosome, complete sequence.
AAACCAUCAAGAGCGACUAAGAGAUCUGGCUCGUUGACGUCGCAGCAACCAUCGGGAAACCGAAAGGUGCUAAUGCCAGGAACGAUGGAGC